rnacentral:rRNA from 1 species
UACGUAGGUGGCAAGCGUUGUCCGGAAUUAUUGGGCGUAAAGCGCGCGCAGGCGGUCUCUUAAGUCUGAUGUGAAAGCCCACGGCUCAACCGUGGAGGGUCAUUGGAAACUGGGAGACUUGAGUGUAGAAGAGAAGAGCGGAAUUCCACGUGUAGCGGUGAAAUGCGUAGAGAUGUGGAGGAACACCAGUGGCGAAGGCGGCUCUUUGGUCUGUAACUGACGCUGAGGCGCGAAAGCGUGGGGAGCGAACAGG